UAACAGGGGAGCUUGCUCCCGCUGACGAGUGGCGAACGGGUGAGUAAUGCAUCGGAACGUGCCGAAUAGUGGGGGAUAACGCACCGAAAGGUGUGCUAAUACCGCAUACGCCCUGAGGGGGAAAGUGGGGGACCGCAAGGCCUCACGCUAAUCGAGCGGCCGAUGUCGGAUUAGCUAGUUGGUGGGGUAAAGGCUCACCAAGGCGACGAUCCGUAGCGGGUCUGAGAGGAUGAUCCGCCACACUGGGACUGAGACACGGCCCAGACUCCUACGGGAGGCAGCAGUGGGGAAUUUUGGACAAUGGGGGAAACCCUGAUCCAGCCAUGCCGCGUGUCUGAAGAAGGCCUUCGGGUUGUAAAGGACUUUUGUCCGGGAGGAAACCCUGAUCGUUAAUAGCGGUCGGGACUGACAGUACCGGAAGAAUAAGCACCGGCUAACUACGUGCCAGCAGCCGCGGUAAUACGUAGGGUGCAAGCGUUAAUCGGAAUUACUGGGCGUAAAGCGUGCGCAGGCGGUGAGAUAAGUCAGCUGUGAAAGCCCCGGGCUCAACCUGGGAACUGCGGCCGAAACUGUCUCGCUAGAGUACGUCAGAGGGGGGUGGAAUUCCACGUGUAGCAGUGAAAUGCGUAGAGAUGUGGAGGAAC
rnacentral:rRNA from 1 species